CUUUAUGGUCCUGGAUAAUCGAUGUAUCUCAAGAAGGCUGUGGUUCCGAAUCUCUCCGCAGUUGCUCUUGUUUUGUAUGUGAAUGCUAAAUGUUGACAUUCAACAUGGCGGCAUGUCGUCAGUGCUGUGCUGUGUCGUGAUUGUGUAAUUGUUAGUUUAGGAUAUUUUUGAAAUCAACGCUCACUGUAAAUUCCACAUUUAAAAGCUGAAGAAGAAAACGAUACUCUAGGAUUAUUGGAACGACACAACCACACUCAGCACGCAUUGAAGACAUCUGAGGAUUUUCAAGCCAACAUUUAUCCUUUAAAUCUCCAAUGUUUUUGAUUUAUUCCUUUUAUAAAGGAUGACUGAUGUUUAAGAAAAACACAGUUAUUCUCGAACAAGCUAAAUUUAGUAAUUAUCAAACAGUUGUUAUGAUAUUAUUAAUGCAAAGAUUCAUGGAAAGUAUUGUUCGUAUGAUAUGAUGUGUUAAAAUAUUUUGUACACAUAUUAAUCAUUCGAAAUACUCAUGCUAACCAUAUUGUUCGUUUGUAAACUGUGUAUGCAACCCGCUUAAUGAAAAGGAGCUAGGUACUCUGCGUAGUGGUGACCCUGCGAUUGUGAUUGCUGCCUUGGCUGGGAUUGUGCUAAUUUGAUCUGUUAAUGGGACAAAAGAGUUAUCCACAAUUUGAGAGUGCCAAGUUUGCUAAGAAUAAGAACAGCCGUGGUAGUUCUCGUUAAACAAUCUACCACAAUUAACAAAAUACCUGUGUCACCUUCCUCCCUAGUUGCCGGUCACAAGAAAAUCUGCAUUUCAGCAGCGUUUCCAAACAAAAGGAAAAAAAAAAAAAACACGCCUUUCUCCCUCUUUGUUAAGUUCUUGUAACGUUGUAAUAGUAAACAAAUAUAUAAGGUACCAAGAACCAUUCUGUGAUAUCUAUGUUAACACUUAAAUAAUUGAAAAGACUAAAAGUUCUAAAUAUAAGUAUAUAUAUUGCAAAGGAGCAGAAUCGAAGACAAAAAACAAAAUUU